rfam:Branchiostoma floridae genomic scaffold BRAFLscaffold_200, whole genome shotgun sequence.
CUGCUAUGAUGUUUGAAUUUCUUCACCUGAAGUUUUGUGUUGAACAAAUAAUACGAGCUUUUUAAUGCUGAGCAGC